rnacentral:rRNA from 1 species
GACGAACGCUGGCGGCGUGCUUAACACAUGCAAGUCGAACGGAAAGGCCCUGCUUUUGUGGGGUGCUCGAGUGGCGAACGGGUGAGUAACACGUGAGUAACCUGCCCUUGACUUUGGGAUAACUUCAGGAAACUGGGGCUAAUACCGGAUAGGAGCUCCUGCUGCAUGGUGGGGGUUGGAAAGUUUGGGCGGUUGGGGAUGGACUCGCGGCUUGUCAGCUUGUUGGUGGGGUAGUGGCUUACCAAGGCUUUGACGGGUAGCCGGCCUGAGGGGGUGACCGGCCACAUUGGGACUGAGAUACGGCCCAGACUCCUACGGGAGGCAGCAGUGGGGAAUAUUGCACAAUGGGCGGAAGCCUGAUGCAGCAACGCCGCGUGCGGGAUGACGGCCUUCGGGUUUUAAACCGCUUUCGCCUGUGACGAAGCGUGAGUGACGGUAAUGGGUAAAGAAGCACCGGCUAACUACGUG